CAAUAAAUAAAGAAAUACACAAACCUAUAAUUGACUAUAAUAAAUUACUAAGGAAAAGAGAAGACAUGUUAUUUAUACCGGUAAUUCUAAAGAACAUCCUGGGCUGAUGCUACAGUGCAUCAGCCCAGGACACAUGAACAGUGAUUUUACUGUUUAUGCCCCAUGAACAGUAAAAUCACUGUUCAUGUGUCCUGGACUGAUGCACUGUAGCAUCAGCCCAGGAUAAUGCCAAUCAGUGCUCUAUUUAUACACUCGACUCUACCUCCACUCCUUAGCUAUAGGAGAUGGGAGGAAAUCAUUUUAUUUUUCUCUUAGAAGAUAGAAAGAGAAAACCUAAAUAAACUCAGGGGAACCUUAAGAGGAAAUUCAUCCAAAAAAACAAACCUUAAGAGGAAAUGGGUAUCACUAUAUUAAUUACUUGAAAACCUAUAUUUAAUAAUUCCAUUUCCCAAGGUCGAAGACAAUGAAUGGGGAUAUGGGGACCAUUGCGUACGAGACCGAUGUCGCGUGAUACACGUUAUGAUUGGCAGCGCGUGCAUUAUUGUCCUUUCAAAUGCUCAUUCUUAAUUGGGUGUCUGACGAAGAGCAGCGAUUCCCAUCGCUAUCUUUAAUACCCUCUGCUGUUUCCCACUCGCAGGCGGCGCCGUUCUUAACAGUCAGGAGUAAUGGAGUGAGAGACUACCACUCACUUUUACUCUCUUACGUACACAAAAACCCUGUACUCGCUUCUCUAUUCGCCAAUCCAUUGAUUACCAAUGUUUUUUACAGCGAGUAUUAACCAAUCACGUGGCCAAUUCAGAAAACACGCAUUUAAGCAGAAACAGCAAGUGUUAAUUAAAAUCAGCUCUAAUUAUUACUUUUUGUUUUAAAAAACAAAACAGCUUUAAUUGUUGGAUACGUUGCUUUAUUUGCAAUCUAGUCUGUCAAUUUUGUCUGUAAAUUCCACCAAGAUGACAAAACCUUUCGCUUUCACUGUCCCCCAUGGCUCGGACCCAAUUUACCAAUCUGCUUCCUUCCACAUUUAUCAGAUUGUUGUUGUUUUAAA
rnacentral:precursor_RNA from 1 species